GCUUCAUAACGUUACACUAUUUCCAGCCGCAGUCCUCCUUUCCCAUUUCCACUUUUCCGAUAGGAACCCUCCGACAUACUCUAUCCCCUACGUUUCUCCGGCAUCAAGCCUUUGAUGAGAGUUACAGCUGGUGCUGACGACCUUCAUUCGACGGAAAUCGAUUGUGUAGGUUUUAGUAUCUGUGUGACUGGAUUUGGGAUCAAUGUCCAACAGAAGCUUAAUUGUUGAUCCCAGUAACAUCAGAUUUUGCAGCUGAAUUCCGAUCCAGAGACUCUGAUAUCUGGAAGUGUAUAUUUGCUGAUUAUUAUAUGAAAUGUGCUGUGGUUAAUUGCUACCAGCUGUUUAAACUCGUCCUGGAUCCCUUGGUUGUUGGGGUGAGAAAAAGAUAUCUGAAUGCAUCAUUAUACGUGCCCUGUGUAAGAAAUUUGUCAGCUCGUGGGGAUUUCGGUGAAUUGUUACUGCAUGGUGGUGCGAAAUACAGAGCCAUUGGAAAAUUGUGGCUGUCGUUGGACGACAUGAGAAAUUUUCUUGGAUUUAUAGGACGCAUUCAAGGAUUCAUUUUGUGUAAGGCUUGGAGCUGAUGCUAUUGUUGGUUGAGUAUAGGAUAUGUGGCUCUGCCACUUCUGAGUCAAGCAGUGGUAUCAAUCUGUACUCAAAGUGAUUCCUUGAGUAAAUCCUAUAAUUCCCAGCAAGUAGCUUCUCAACCCUCCAGGCUUUUUGAGUGGCUCAAUGUAGUUGAGGACUGGGAUGACUGGUCCAAGUGGAUAAGUAGUCUAGGAGGUGUUGGUAUUCCAGCAAACAAGUGCUGGGAGUCGUGGUGGGAUGAGUAAGAACACUCCAUUUUACCAGGUUAUCAGGCAGGUUCUGGAAGUUUGUUCUUUCCCUUGGUUUCUUUUUAUUCCAGUAGUAUGAGGUCGUGUCGUUUACCCAUCUCCCUUGAAAGUAAAAGUUUAGUUGUGACUAUUAUUUCUGACGGCUCGUCUCUCGCCAAUUUAUUUGUGAUGACAAGGACCACGAGCUUAUGUAUUUCACCAUGUUUAUUUUUGUUUUUCAGGUAGGUGAUGUCUCUUGGCUGGUUAUUGUGGCAGUGAUGAGCAUCCUGAAGAUAAUGUCAGUGGCUAGGUGAAAGUUCAGCACACACGCGAUGGGACUCGUUAUCUUUGCGCCUAUAGCUGUUCUGGCUUUGUUCGAAUUUGUUUCUGAAUUCUAGACGGCUGCUCUUCAACCAAGCCUUUAUCCAAGGCUUUCAGAUUUCACGAAUUCUGGCCAGAGGAUAGAAAUAUAAUUGAUCCCUGUAACGUCGGAUUUUGCAGCUAAAUUCCAAUCCAGAGACUCUGAGGAUUAUAUGAAAUGUGCUGCAGAUAAUUGCUACCUGCCGUUUAAACUCGUCCUAGAUCCCUUGGUUGUUGGGGAGAGUGAGAAAAAGGACAUGUUUGAAAUAGUUACCUGUGAUGUGAUGGUUAAUGAGAUUAUGUAGGUGAAUUGUUACUGCAUGGUGGUGCGAAAUACAGAGCCAAUGGAAAAUUGUGGUUGUGGUUGGAUGACAAGACAAAUUUGCUUGGAUUUAUAGGAUGCAUUCAAGGAUUCAUUUUGUGUAACGCUUGGAGCUCAGCUGAUGCUAUUAUUGGUUGAGUAUAGGAAGUCCAGCAGCGGUAUCAAUCUGAACUCAAAGUGAUUCCUUGAUUAAAUCCUAUAAUUCCUAGCAAAUAGCUUCUCAUCCCUCCAGGCUUUUUGAGUGGCUAAAAGUAGUUGAGGACUAGGAUGACUGCUCCAAGCAGAUAAGUAGUCUAGCAGGUGUUGGUAUUCCAGCAAGCAAGUGCUGGGAGUCGUGGUGGAUGAGGAGUAAGAACACUCCAUUUUUACCAGGUUGUCAGGCAGGUUUCCAGAGCUUGUUUUUUCCAUUGGUUUCUUUUUAUUCCAGUAGUAUGAGGUUGUCAUUUACCCAUCUCCCUUGAAAGUAAAAGUCUAGUUGUGAGUAUUAUUUCUGACGGCUCGUCUCUUGCAAAUUUUUGUAUGACGACAUCAUGACAAGGACCACGAGCUUAUGUAUUUCACCAUGUUUAAUUUUCUUUUGUAACAUAUGAUUGGAACCCAGAAAUGAUCGAUUCUUUAUGUAGAAAUAGAAGGAUAGUGCAGUGACUUUCACUGUGAACUUUUCCCAC